rnacentral:rRNA from 1 species
GACGAACGCUGGCGGCGUGCCUAAUACAUGCAAGUCGAGCGGACCUUCGGGGUUAGCGGCGGACGGGUGAGUAACACGUGGGUAAUCUGCCCAACUGACUGGAAUAACGCCUGGAAACGGGUGCUAAUGCCGGAUAGGCAACUGGUAGGCAUCUACCGGUUGGGAAAGGUGCAACUGCACCGCAGAUGGAGGAGCCCGCGGCGCAUUAGCUAGUUGGUGGGGUAACGGCCUACCAAGGCGACGAUGCGUAGCCGACCUGAGAGGGUGGACGGCCACACUGGGACUGAGACACGGCCCAGACUCCUACGGGAGGCAGCAGUAGGGAAUCUUCCGCAAUGGGCGCAAGCCUGACGGAGCAACGCCGCGUGAGCGAAGAAGGCCUUCGGGUUGUAAAGCUCAGUCACUCGGGAAGAGCGGACGAGGGAGUGGAAAGCCCUCGUCGAGACGGUACCGAGAGAGGAAGCCCCGGCUAACUACGUG